GGCAUCUGGCAAGUGGGGGAAGGAAUUUUCAUUAAUUGAAAGGGGUCCACAAUCUUUUUUUUUUUUUUACACUAUACAACUCAAUACUAUCUGUAUUCAUAACGUGCAGCGAAUCUUAACCUUACAGCUGUCCUUUAUUAACGGCUAAAGAACAGUUUUUUAUUUUGGUUUUUAUUGAGUCCUGUUCAAAUUGGGAAGAAAUCUAAUUUGACAGAGUGGAUACUGAGUGGAGAUCCUUUACAAAUCACAUUUUCAAAUAAAGGCAAAUAGGGAUUGAGGACGCCCUUCAUCUCUCGCCUCCUUUUUAUAUACCAAGUUUUUUGGGAGUAAAUCUUAGAGCUUUGGCAUUUUUAGAGAUACAAAAUAGUAGAGAGAAAAAAAAAAAAAAAAAAAAGGGUCUCAAGAAACAAGAAAAAUGGAGGUCUUGAGACUCUGCUUAAUGGCUAUUUUUGGUUUGGUUAUGGCAUUGGCUGUUCCUUCCAUCAAUGCUCAAGUCCCUACGCCUGCUCCUGCCCCUACAAGUGAUGGAGUUGCAAUUGACCAAGGUAUAGCGUAUGUGCUCAUGCUGGUUGCUUUGGCAAUCACUUAUAUGCUUCACUGAGCAAUGUGUACAGCUUCCAUUGCUGCUUUUCUAUCUAUUUUUUUCCCCUUUUCUUCUGGUUGUGAUCCCUUCAUUUUAUAAUGGUAGGCAUGAAUUGAUCAUGUUUUAAAAUUUCAUUCUCUUGUAUUCUUAUGGAGGUUGAAAUUCUCUCUUUCUUCAUUCAAUGAUUAAGUAGAAAUUCUUUAAA